rnacentral:rRNA from 1 species
CUUGAAUAUCUAUAAGAGGUCCAGCCUGCCCAGUGACUCUGUUCAACGGCCGCGGUAUCCUAACCGUGCGAAGGUAGCGUAAUCACUUGUUCUUUAAAUGAGGACUCGUAUGAAUGGCACCACGAGGGUUAUACUGUCUCCUUUUUCUAAUCAGUGAAACUAAUCUCCCCGUGAAGAAGCGGGGAUAAAAAUAUAAGACGAGAAGACCCUAUGGAGCUUUAAACUUGAUAACAAAUACUACUCUUUACUUAACUUUCAGAACAUAAACCUUUAUUUUAGUAUUAUGGUUAUUAGUUUUAGGUUGGGGUGACCGCGGAGCAAAAAUUAACCUCCACAUUGAACGGAAUUCAUUCCUGAGCAAAAAGCCACGACUUUAAGCACCAAUAAAUUGACAUCAAUUGACCCAAUAUUUUGAUCAACGAAC